CUUCAGCUCCCCUUUCAGCUCCCCUUUCACCUCCGGGCCCCCUCUGCACAUUUCCUGUUCUUCGCAGUCAACCUGCUCCUGCAGGGGGAGCUUCCGCUUCAAGUCCUUUAUUCUCUGCUCCUGGUCUGCCUUUCUUGACUGGCCUGGAGGUCCUGAAUCUUCUGAUUAUCUUCCUGCCAUUUGUGUGUGUGUAUGUUGCAAAUCGAGCUGUUCCUCCAGCUCCUGUUUUGCAGACUCCAAGCAGUUCACCUGCAUCUUCUGUACCGCAGAUCAGAGAUCCUCUGCUUUGAGGCACUGACGGUCUUGCCAGCUUCUGCCAGGCAGUCCUCCUUCCGCUGCAGCUCCUUGCUGGCUGUGCCUUGGCUCCCUUGACAUCUACUUGAGGCCUCCUGUGACCGGCUGCAUCUGCAUCUUCCCCCGUCCACCCGGAUGACCAGGGAUGACUCGAGACUUCAAAGGGAUCUGCUCUGCUUGAUCCAAUAGCUGCAUGCUUUGCUGGUACUGCGUCUGCAGAGAGCCUUGAGCAGGGGUGGAAACAUCAAGUCAAGAUCCUCCCUCCACUCGCAGAGACAUGAAGUUGUUCAAAGACCUCAGAGAUGGUGCUGGAAGAUGUCAUGAAUUGGACGCCAUGGAGCUCCUGCUUCCUCUGUGCCUCACCUCUGCCUGGGGUGCCAGGCCUGGUUUUCUGAACCUGGGGGAGACUCAAAGAGUUUUGAAGGACUGAUUCUGUAAAACCAACCAACCAACCAACCAACCAACCAACCAAGGAAGAGCUGUUUUUACCUUGAAGAAUUGAAGAACAAUCAGGGAAUGUAGCAGAAGCUGUCCUACCACCCUUGUCUGAGGAAGUUAACCCUGCUUUGCCUGAGGAACCUGUAAUGGUCUCCACUGAGAUAAUCUCCUUGUAAAAUCCUGCUGAUUUAUAUCAGAACUCAUUUCUAGCACCUCUCAUUGCUUCUACACCUGUAACUACACUCAAUCCAGCAGGACCUGAAUGUGAGCUCGGUGAGAUGGAAACUGCUCCAGGAUGGGGCAGCCUAGAACACAAGACUCCUUCCCACUCCUGGCUCAGAGGUGGAGGGCUGUCCUCUGGGGAGGAGCAGGCCGUCAACAUUUCUCAUCCUACCCCCAGCCACCUGUUGCUGAAAUGAAGUUCCAAAUGAGAGGGACCAAGAGAAGAGAUUCCGUGAUAUUGUAAAAAGAGAAAAACUACUGCAUCCCCGAUUUUGCUUCAACAUAUAGUGAAUUCAGUGCUCAGUUAUCAUGAUCCAGUCUCCGUAAGGACAAGAUUUUGAAUAAGCAGACCUGCUUCUCUCCCAAUUGCUGACUCUGCUUUGCGCACGACCGCCUGCCCCAAUGAGGAACCUGCGAUUUUCCCUAUCCUCACCAUGACCAUGAAUCCAGGCCACAAAGUCUUGCCUGGACUUUGUGCCAUGUCUCUCCUUGUUUUGCCUCCCUCCAGUUUCAUCUAUUCAGUAUAAUAUCUGCCAAUGAGAGUGAGAGACUUCGAAAAUGAAACGUGAAUCAUGUUACUCCCUGUUUAUGUUUCAUUGUUUUCGAGUUUCCUUGGGAGUAAUGUUCAAACUCCUCACUAUAACUUGUUGGACUGUUUUGUCAUUGGCAUAUGUCUCCAGAUUCAUGUCUCCUCACUUCACCUCUCCACUUUAAACUCCAACAAGUCUUACCUUUUAGUUUUUUAAUCUAACUAGCUCUUAGCCUCCAAGACUUUUAUAUGCCAAUAACUAACCGUAUUUGGAAUAUUUUCCCAUUUCUCUGCUUUGCCUAGGUAACACUUAGGCGUUUUUCAGGCCCAAUUUAAUGACCAUUUCCUCUAGGAUGAUUUCUCUGUCUUUCUAGGCUCAGUUAGGUCCUAUUGUGUUCAUCCAUGCUAUCUAUCCCAUAUUUGUCCUAUCAGAGCACUUAGGCUUUUGAAAUUGUCUUCUUGACUGAGAUUUAUUUUCGGUAAAAGCAGGAGCUAUAUUUAUCUUUCUCAGGGUUCUACACCCAGUACCUCAAACCUUAUGUGGUCCACAGAUGAUACCCAAUAACUAUGUUUUUGAAUGAGCAAGUACAUGAUUAGCUAAAGGAAUAUACUGAGUCAUACACUUCUGGAUACUUAGGCAAAAGUGAAACAUUUGUCUAUUAAAAAAUCAUAAAUGAGCACUGGGUAUUAUAUAAGACUGAUGAAUCACGUAUCUGUACCCCUGAUCCAAGUAAAACAUUAUAUGUUAAUUAAUUGAAUUUAAAUUUUAAAAAAUCAUAAAUGAUUAAAAUGACUGGAUACAUGCGUUUGUAUUUCAGUUCAUUCAAAUAUUUUUCAUAAAUUGUUGACAGAUAAAUGAGAUAAUUUUUCCCCAAAGUACUUCAUAAAAUUGGAAUUUGGAGUCAGGUUUCUAUGCUUUUUUCAGUUUAAUUCUCAGCUUCUUUUGCUCAAUUAGGUUUCAUUUCAUAAAACUGACAUGCUGAAGGAUGAAAAUACAUUUAGAUAAAUAAUACAGAGUAACAAGGAUAAUUCUUUAAUAUGUAGUAGCUAUGCAAUAAAUGUAAGUGGAAUGGACUAAUGAACUUGACCUCUCAAUAUUAAACACAGUUAUUGGAGCUAGCCAGUGGAUUUCAAUUUGUAUACCAUUCCUGGUCAGUUGUUAGAGGAUGUCUUAUACUCAGUUAGGAGGUGGAUAAAUACAAUAACAUGUGAUGAUUAGCAAGGAAAACUAUCAUGAUUAAUUAUUGAUGUCAAGCAGAGAGGUGGGAAAGAGGAUUGAUGGCACGUCUACCACAUCUAUACCAUUAUGAAAUUAUGCAAUUGUUCAAUAAAGAAAUAAAAACUAAAGUGAAAAAACAAGGGUAGCUAGCAUAGAAGGGUAGAAAUUUGGGCUAAUAGUGCUUAUGUAUAUACGACAAAAUGAGAAAAUUGUGGGAUUAUACACAUAAUGAAUGAAUGUUGAUGCUUUUUAGAGAACAAAAGCAUAAUUUUGUUUCAAUAAUUGAAAAACUGAGGUUGAGAUAAAGAUUAAUACGUGGUGAUAUAUUAAUUAUGGCAGAUGCAGGACUUGAAUUCUGAUAUUUUUUUGUUCUCUGAGUAAAAUGUACUUCACAGCAUACAAUAAUUUUUCAAAAAUAAAUCUCUAAUGAAAUUGGUUGUAUUUGGCUAAUUCUUUGUAUGGAAUUCAUUCAUAAGUGAUAUAGUCUGCUACUACAAUGAACCUGUUUAUGUAGUUAUAAAUUGCCUACAUAGCAGCUCUUACCUGAAUCCUCAAGAGACCUUUUUGAGCCCUAGAGAUGGCAACCAGCCAAUGACGUUUAUUUAACUGCUUUUCAUGGAGUCACCACAAGAGGUGGCAGUGUAGCAA